GAUGAACGCUGGCGGCGUGCUUAACACAUGCAAGUCGAACGGAAAGGCCCAAGCUUGCUUGGGUACUCGAGUGGCGAACGGGUGAGUAACACGUGGGUGAUCUGCCCUGCACUUCGGGAUAAGCCUGGGAAACUGGGUCUAAUACCGGAUAGGACCACAUUUUGGAUGUGGUGGUGGAAAGUUUUUCGGUGUGGGAUGAGCUCGCGGCCUAUCAGCUUGUUGGUGGGGUAAUGGCCUACCAAGGCGUCGACGGGUAGCCGGCCUGAGAGGGUGUACGGCCAUCUUGGGACUGAGAGAAGGCCGCGACUCCUACGGGAGGCAGCAGUGGGGAAUACUGAACAAUGAGCGCAAGCCUGAUGCAGCGACGCCGCGUGGGGGAUGACGGCCUUCGGGUUGUAAACUCCUUUCGCUAGGGACGAAGCGUUAUGUGACGGUACCUGGAGAAGAAGCACCGGCUAACUACGUG
rnacentral:rRNA from 1 species